ACGAAGGGUGCAAGUGUUACUCGGAAUUAUUGGGCGUAAAGCGCGCGCAGGCGGUCCUUUAAGUCUGAUGCGAAAGCCCACGGCUCAACCGUGGAGGGUCAUUGGAAACUGGGGGACUUGAGUGCAGAAGAGGAAAGCGGAAUUCCACGUGUAGCGGUGAAAUGCGUAGAGAUGUGGAGGAACACCAGUGGCGAAGGCGGCUUUCUGGUCUGUAACUGACGCUGAGGCGCGAAAGCGUGGGGAGCAAACAGGA
rnacentral:rRNA from 1 species